UACGGGGGGGGCUAGCGUUGUUCGGAAUCACUGGGCGUAAAGCGCACGUAGGCGGCUUUGUAAGUUAGAGGUGAAAGCCCAGGGCUUAACCCUGGAAUUGCCUUUAAGACUGCAUCGCUAGAAUCGUGGAGAGGUGAGUGGAAUUCCGAGUGUAGAGGUGAAAUUCGUAGAUAUUCGGAAGAACACCAGUGGCGAAGGCGACUCGCUGGACACGUAUUGACGCUGAGGUGCGAAAGCGUGGGGAGCAAACAGG
rnacentral:rRNA from 1 species